GCUGGAGGACCAGGAAGGCUGAGUAUGAGGAAGCAAGACUCUGCCGACCCACCUCUCCUAGACAAAGGGUGGAGAGCGCAGCUCUUAGGAGAAAGCCAGGACUGGCUGUCCUACCCACAUUC